UCGUCGAACACCGAGCUCCUCCCUCGACGCUGACGCCGAGCUCCUCCCUCAUCGACGACAAGUUCCUCCCUCCUCUCCGAGCUUCCCCGCUAUCGACGCCGACGCUGACCCCGACGCUGAGCUCCUCCCCUGUGCUUCUCCCUCGUUGAAGACCGAGCUCCUCCCUCGACGCCGACGCUGAGCUCCUCCCUCGUUGAUGCAUUUGAGCAAAUAGUCAGAGGCCGAGCUCCUCCCCCGUCUAUGCCGGACUCUCUCUUCCAAUUAUUGAUGGCGAUCUCUCCAACACCCAGCCUCGACAAUCUCUUCGAAAAUCAAAGUGUUUCACUCCAAAGAACCAAUCUUUCUGAAAAAUUUUCUGAGGGCUACGAGAACACUUGGUUGUAACUUCGGAGCAUGUCAGAGCAUUUUUGGAGCCUGUUGCGUGUUCGAACAACUCAUUGGAUGACGAGUCAACCAGCUGCAGUUUCCCCCAGGUUGUUGGAGCAGAGGUUGCUGGAGCAUAAUGUUAUUUAAGCAUUUAAGCAUUUAAGUAUCUUGGAUCUCAGUCUACAUGUAUCGACAAUAACUUUGGUUGUAACUUUAUUUUGUUUUGAAACAUGAAAAUGACUCUAAUUUGUGAGAACACCUGAUUGUAACUUUGGAUGAUGUAAUCUGGUGUUAGAAAUCUCUGCUAGUUUCUUCUAAUUGUGUUUAUGGUGAAAUUGUUUAAUGUGUGUAUUCAUGAA